rnacentral:rRNA from 1 species
GGCGAACGCUGGCGGCGUGCCUAAUACAUGCAAGUCGAACGAAGCGAUUUAACGGAAGUUUUCGGAUGGAAGUUGAAUUGACUGAGUGGCGGACGGGUGAGUAACGCGUGGGUAACCUGCCUUGUACUGGGGGACAACAGUUAGAAAUGACUGCUAAUACCGCAUAAGCGCACAGUAUUGCAUGAUACAGUGUGAAAAACUCCGGUGGUACAAGAUGGACCUGCGUCUGAUUAGCUAGUUGGUAAGGUAACGGCUUACCAAGGCGACGAUCAGUAGCCGACCUGAGAGGGUGACCGGCCACAUUGGGACUGAGACACGGCCCAA